GGGGAUGCCAUGGUUUCGACGUGGUGGAGUAAUUAUUAGUAGCAAGUCGAGUGUGGAACGUAAACCCACAGUUUAAAUAUAAACGCAAACAACAAUAGCGAAGCAAACUUCGCACUAGCUGCCUAAGAAUCUGGUAGCAAUGAAUUGUAGGUUAGUCGCGAACUUACAAUUUGUUUCAUAAUUUUAGCGACAAACUAAUAUACCUAAGCUUUGCAGUAUAUUCAGUAAUAUGAAGCUAGCAUAAAAAAUAUUUGUAAGUUUAUAAGUUUUAUGCGAAAUUUAAAAACUUACUAAACUUGUAGAAGCGAAUAAGGAUGCUUCCACGGACAUGGGUUCGACUCCCAUCAUCUCCACCA
rnacentral:tmRNA from 1 species